UCGCCUUUUUUUAGGUGCCCUAAGCGCAUGCGCCGCUAGGCCAAGCUCCCGCUGAAGUUGGCGGCGCGCAUGCGCCUACCCGCCGAGUGACGCUUCCGUGCGCAUGCGCCUCCCCGCCCUCUCCCUGGAGGCUCGUCACGGGCAUGCGCAGCGCGCCGGGCUGUGACAAGAAAAGGGAAAUCCGGAAAUGAACCCGGCAGGGGGCGGGGCGUGACCUCUGACCCCGCGCACGCGGAGGACGGCGGCGACGCACGCGGGACGCGGCGGUGGAGACCAUGGAGCAGCCCCUGGGGCCUGAGAGCGAUGACGACCUGACAGACAGUGAGGAGAGCGUGUACUCAGGGCUGGAGGACUCCGGUAGCGACAGCACCAACAGCAGCGCUGAGGAGGAGGAGGAGGAUGAAGAGGAGCAGGAAGAGCCCAGCGGCAGGGCAGCCCCUGGGGUCAAAGGGGCUCCCAGGAAGAGCAAAGCUCUGGGGGCUGAUCCCUCUCCAAAGGACAGCGAGGGUCUGAGCGCUCCGGAUGAGUACGCGGAGGACAGCUCGGAUGAGGAGGUAGGACCCGCUGCCAGCUUGAUACGUGUGGAUACAACGUAGGGGAGGUGGAUUGAUUUCCCACUGUGUUGCCUUCUGUGCAAAUGCCAAAAGAGGGACGUUGGUCAAAGAGCGUUGGGUCUGACGGGGGGGCUGCCCACCCUGCAGCUCGCUGCUGGCACCCAGCGGGGCUGGGGGGGCUGGUGGCAGAGCGCAGUGCUCGUGGUGCCUGGCGCCGCAGGUUGGAAACUGGUUGUGCAAAAGGCAGCAGGAUCCGGGCCACAGAGCGCUCCUUGGCUUUGUUUGUUCCAGACCAACUUCAUUGCUUUUCUUAAUCGUCUGCUAAAUCAAUUAACGCGAUUGGCGCAAAUCAGCUGCUCCUGCGGAGCCCGGGGGUCGGGAUGGGGCGAGCGCCAAGUGCCGCGGGGGCGUUCGGUCUGGC
rnacentral:lncRNA from 1 species